GAUGAACGCUGGCGGCGUGCCUAAUACAUGCAAGUCGAGCGAACAGACGAGGAGCUUGCUCCUCUGACGUUAGCGGCGGACGGGUGAGUAACACGUGGAUAACCUUCCUAUAAGACUGGGAUAACUUCGGGAAACCGGAGCUAAUACCGGAUAAUAUAUUGAACCGCAUGGUUCAAUAGUGAAAGACGGUUUUGCUGUCACUUAUAGAUGGAUCCGCGCCGCAUUAGCUAGUUGGUAAGGUAACGGCUUACCAAGGCGACGAUGCGUAGCCGACCUGAGAGGGUGAUCGGCCACACUGGAACUGAGACACGGUCCAGACUCCUACGGGAGGCAGCAGUAGGGAAUCUUCCGCAAUGGGCGAAAGCCUGACGGAGCAACGCCGCGUGAGUGAUGAAGGUCUUCGGAUCGUAAAACUCUGUUAUUAGGGAAGAACAAAUGUGUAAGUAAUUAUGCACGUCUUGACGGUACCUAAUCAGAAAGCCACGGCUAACUACGUG
rnacentral:rRNA from 1 species